GCAGCGGGGUACCGGGCUGCACCACAGUACGUGAACCUAGUGCUUUCUCUCGCAAUGGCAACUUAACGAGCAUGACAAGAAGGACUCCCAGGGAUAACACUUACGGGAAAAGUGGCGAUAACUUCUGGGAUAAGUGAAAGUGGUCAGGAUCGGAUCGUUCACGCCAUUUCCAGGGAAUUCUCGAAGGAAAUCCCUGAAAUUACCAAUCACCCAAUGAGCGUUGUUGUUAUUUUGACAUGUCUUUCAAAACCACUGCAUCACUGGUUGGACAGACAAACUUAAUUGUGAAUAAAAAUAUUACGUCUGUCAAAGCAAGGCGGUUGUAUAUUUUGGGGGUGUUUUUUUUUUUAUCUGGACCUACUUUUAGAGAGGCCGUAGCACUUUUUUUUACUGUUUUACUUUACCGGAUAUGACGCAAUUUAGACCCGGAAAGCGGUAGUCGGCGGGAUGGCGAGUGAUUUGUAAUUAUUGUAGUCAGUGCGGUAACGUUGGUCUCCAGAGGACAGCAUGUGCCGAUUUUAACAGUUACUUGAGAAGGGACUCUGAACUCGGAGCAGGAAGAUGAGUGCAGCCCUGGAAGACUCGGACUGUAACUCUUCUUUUGGGGGGCUGGCGCCCAGCAGUCCAGACCCCAUGAAUAAAGCCUGCUUAUUCGACGACAGCAUGGAGCUGUUUGACUCGUUAGAUGUCAGCAGGGGUUCAGAGCCCCCAAGUUUUCUUUCUAAAACCCCCAGCCCCGUUUUCUCGAAGGCGAACACGAGGUGUUUCAGAGCAGCAAGCAGAGAAGAGGAGAUUGAGAGUGUAAGUAGGUUUUACGAAGUUGGAAGAUAAGAUAAGAUCAC